UAAUACACCAGUGCAACAUAUGCGCUGGUGUGUCUAAUAUUAAACUACAGUACUAGUGCCACAAUGGGAUUACUAUGGCUCACGCAAACUUAACUGUCAACAACCUGAUUAUUUUUUCAGGAUGUACGGCAUUGAGGUGAUGUUGCUGGGUAGAAACACAAAACCACUGUUCUAUAGUUAUCUCAAUACCCUUAGUCAUUUUGAAUGUUAAACGCAAGCUUUCAGACUCUUGACUGACCUCCUCUCGACCCAGACACGUGUAAGUGGACAAAAAAAAAAAUUUCUACAUCUCUAUGAAUUUCCUUAUUCCCACCCUCCAGAACUAUUGAUUUGUCAACAUUCAGACUGAACCCGCCCCUGGGAUCCAGUAGCAAAGAGGUAUUUUUUAAAAAAGCCGAGUAAACUUAUCAAGUCUUCCGUUCGUUGUAACUGCAAUGCAGUAUUAUAAUGCAGGUGUCUUUGAGACUGGAUAAUGUAGGAUAGUCAGACAAAAAAUGCUACACAAUAGGUUUGAAAUUGUGAGUUGCGGAAUUUUGCUGAAAAGCAUGGCAAUCGCAAUGCUGAUAAGAGUACGUGAUGAGACGCUACAAAGACUAAUUUAAAUAUGGUGAAAGAAAAUAGGUUAAUACCGAUGUGAUGUAGGAUGUAUAACUUGAUUUUGCUUACUGGUGCACUGUUUAUUAUUACUUACUUUUUAAAUCCAUUCAGGUACCAUUUGUCAUUGGUUUACACUGUUACUACUGGAAUUUACAGUAGUAGUGUUAUGUUGGUGUAUUUUGGCAUUUGCAUUUAAAUUUGCUUGAACCAAUUAUUUUGAAAAACGGAAGUGUUUCUAAUAGCAGUUUAACUAAAAAUGAAAAACAAGAAAUGUCAGCACGAGCUGUGUAAGACACAUGUUAUUAUCUGUUUUUCUUUAUGGUUUGGAUGAUUUGUGGGUGGCUUCUUUUCCUCUGGUAAAGAUGUUUUAAGACAGCUAAAUAUUUGACCAUAUAACUUUUUUUACAGGUUUUGUCUAGGCAAGACAAAUUAUUUUCAUACUUUUAAUUUGGUCUUUUGCGUACUCACUUGAUUACCGUAUGGUCGCUCCACUUUAAAACCUUGCACAAGUACUGGGUGAUCAAAGGUAAAAAUGUUGCCAUUUGAUGUAAAGCAGGUUUCUGUGACCUUUGUUUUUGUUUUAACCAUGCAAUGUGGAAGGAAAGUUUUGUGCCAGUUUGUGUUUUGGGGGUCUGUCUGAUACCAUCACCAAAUAUUUGGUUUGAAUUUCCAAUACACUUUCUUUAAAUGGCAGGAAUGAACAGCACAUUUUACCUAGCCAGCAAAUUCAAUGUGUAAACUCUGUACAUAAAAUCUCUGUACACAACACAGUGCAAGCGAGCUGACAGUUUUGGUGUAGCGAAGUACUGAACUUCAAUGACAAAAUAAAAGCAUUGUAAGAACAGGAAAGACAGACACUUGUCAUUGAAAGGUUUUUUUUUUUUGGCUGUACUGAGUAGCUUAGUUAUUAUUUAGAGUUUUAAAGGUUAUAUCAGUCCUAUGAUGAACAUGGGCUUUCUCAGUAUUUAAACACUAAGCAAAGCAGAUUCAUUCAUUCAAAUUCAUUCAAAACCAAAACAGCAUUUGCUCCAGUGCAAAGUUUGCACCACUUGAAAUAAAACAAAGAAUUAGCAUACUAAUACAAAAUAUAAGCAAACAGCUAAAAGGAAUAAACAACAAAUGCUUAACGAUGGUAUCUUUCGACUUCCAUUCCAGCUGACAUUUGCAAAAUCUGCACAUCAUUAUUUUGUUGCCGUUGUUAUGCGCGGUUUAGGCAUUUUAGACACAAACAUCUCUUCUCUUGCAUCACAAUUUUAAUUCCCAAAUGACUCGCUCCAAAUUAUACAUCUGCACAAGUGCUAGUCAGAGCUUCCGUUUCCCUUCAGACAUGUCUGUGGUAAUGGCUCAGCCUUGACAACUACGAUUGCAAGUAUUUUUUUUAAAAGUAUUUUUUGUAUAAACCUCCCAGCUUUAAAAAUGUAAUUCCUUUGUAGUGAUCCAUGUAGUAAUUCCCGCCGUAAUUGUGUUCACCCCGCUGCUCUGUAUUUGCCAACACUGGUUUGUUUACCUCUGUUUCUGUAAUCCUAGCCUGCAUGUGGGCAUGCUCUGUGUCUCCCCUGUGAUUAGCUCUUGUCUGACUGUCCUCAUUGGCUGCUAAUUGUCUGUGCCCUUUGGUCCUACUGUGCGACUGAAGUCCAAUGGGGUGUGUGGCCAAUAAGGGGGCUGGGCUAAGGUUAACCCUUUGCUGCCGACAUGCUGUAAUUUCGUAACUUUUGUUACGAUGACAAAACAUGUCAUAUCUCAGCCGUCCAACCAGCAAACUUUUUUUUUUUAAAGCGUGGGUCAUAGCCAUGACUACGUGGUGUGUCAUGAUACCAUUGGUUUAGGUCUAGGACAGGUGGGACAUAUAAUAUUUUCAAGAUGAAGACGAGUGUCCUUGCCAGCGCCAUUACGACUGCGUGCACAGCGCAUUCGAAGUUCUGUAUCUCUGGUUUUACAAUUCCAAGAGUGCUAAUCUACAUAUCAUCUAAACGGAGGGCCCUGACUGAGGAUGCCGUUCCCAUUUACAAACCACCUGUACCAACACUAACCCUAACCCUAACCCUAACACUAACCCUAACCCUAACCCUAACCCUAACCCUAACCCUCGACACCCGUCUCGUCUUCUCACUGUCCACGUGCCGGAACGGACGAGCUUGAAAAAUAAUUUCUGGCUUUGCUACUGUAAAUGCAGAAGAGAGCAUUGCACCCUGAUUGUAUGCAUGGCGCCAGAAUGCAACGUGAAGCCGCUUUGCUUAGUUAAAAAUGGGAACUGUUUUCAGAUUUGGCACUUCCCCAAAGGUGAUUAUUUUCGUUAAAACUAAAAUAAAAGUAGGUCUCCAUACGUGAACAGGGUGCUUGUUGUUCAGUGUCAUCAUUUUGCAUGUUGCCUCACUGUUCUUAUUGCAUGUUGCCUCACUGUUCAUUCACUGUUCUUAUAGCAUGUUGUCUUGUUUUCUAAUUGCAUGUUGCCUAACAGUUUACAGUUUUCUUGCUGCAUGUUUUCUCUUUUUCGUCUUUCUUAAGGCAAUUUACUGUAAGUAGUUUACUGAUCAUUAUCUUGUAUAAAAUGUUAACUUCAUAAAAAAAUGUUAUGAAGUAUUAAUUUUCUGCAAUAAAAUGUUUUAGCAUGAUUUUUAUUUAUUCUAGUUUUGAAAAUAAAUAAAUGGUCUCCCUCCCUCCCAAAUAAAAUUCUUAAUAUGCUUUGUAA